CCCAACCAACCAUCCUCAGCCGCAGUUCCUGCUGCUGUCCGUUGAAGGUGAUUAAAGACCAUGAGGAAGGUUCUUUCUGGUACUCAUUCGCAGAUGAGCUUGCCGACACAAAUGCGCAUUGAUGACACGGCGCCGACAUUCUUGGACACGGAGCUCACGUCCAGGCAGCACACCUCGCAAUCCGUCCUUCUUAAGCUCAUGAACAUGGACCGAAAGUCUACCGCAGGCCCGGGCGACCGGCUUUUGCAACCAUCCACAGUGCGGGCCCUUCUCUUCGGUGGUUCGGCGGUGGCUUACCAGGUGCUGCUUGUUUGCGGACUGUACCGUGCGUGGUACGAACCAGCUGACUGGUGCUCUGGUGUAUGGCUCCUGGUGGCGUCAUCAGCAGCGCUGGCCGGAUUCGAGAUCUUACACACAAUUGUGCACAUUGCCUGGCUGCUUAGGCACAGGGCGUGCAAGAUCACACCUUCUAUGUUGAAGCCCAUCUCGUGCAUAGUCGUCGUCACUCUUUUUCUUGCCGUCGUAUACGACGCGCGAGACAGUCUGAUGAGGCUCAACUCGCUCGGCGGUGUCCUCGUAACUCUAGUCAUCGCCGUAGCUGCAUCUGAUGACUGGUCGAAGAUUGACUGGGUACUGGUGGCCCGUGGCAUUACUUCACAGUACGCUAUUGCAUUUCUUCUGCUGCGCUGGACAUCUGGCCGGGCGGCACUGUCGUGCAUCGCCGGUCUUGUCACCGGCUUCUUCGGCUUUGCUACAGAUGGCUCGGCACAUCUCUUCGACUACUUGAGCACAGGCCUUAACUUGAGUGCUGUGAUGAAUGCUUCUUCUGGUGAUCCAGAGGUUGAGUACGCAAGCCUGGGGCCCAUCUUCGCCUUUCGGGUGUUUCCGGUGAUCUUACUGGUUGGCUCGCUGGUGAACCUGCUGUUCUACCUGAAACUCAUGCAAGCUAUUGUUUUCCGGCUGGGCGGCAUCAUUAGCCUUUUUGUCGGCUCCACCAUCUGCGAGUCCGCUUGUGCUGGUGCAAAUAUAUUCCUUGGAAUGACACAGUCGUCACAGAUGAUGAGUCCGUAUCUACCGGCUCUGACGAAAGCAGAGCUGCACAGUGUCCUCACCAGCGGGUUUUCAAACAUCAGUGGGAGUUCGCUCGCCGCCUUCAUCGGCUUCGGGCUGAGUGCCGACUUCCUGCUGACCGCAUGCCUGUUGAGUGUGCCUUCAUCGCUACUGUGUUCCAAGCUGUUCUAUCCGGAGAAAGAACAGCCGCUGCCUUACACCAGCCUUGACAUGCUUGCCUGCCAGGAAGCGUCGAUACUGGAGGCGUGCGUGGUGGGCUGCCGCCGAGCUGUGCGCGUGGUGGGCAACAUUGUGGCCCUGUCCAUCUCUUUCCUGGGCUGCAUCAAGACAUGCGAGAGUCUUCUUGCCUCGCUCAGCGACAGCGCCGGUCUGGGUGACGUCACUCUCGAGACAGCCAUCGGCUACAUGAUGACACCUUUGUCGCUGGCCAUUGGAGUCUCCUCAAUGGACAGCGUCAUCUUCGGCAGAAUCGUCGGCGUCAAGAUCGUCUCGAACGAGGUCGUCGCCUACGUCACUCUCAUUAAGCACAUCAAAACGCUGCAGAGGAGGACAGUGAUGCUGGCCACCUUUGCGCUCUGUGGCUUCGGCAACCUGUGCUCCGUGGGCAUCGCUCUGGGCACACUUGGGGCGCUCUGCCCAGAGCGGUUGUCCACCAUCGCUGGGCUCGGAUUCCGUGCCAUGUGGGCCGGCUGCAUAUCUUCGAUUCUCAACGCUUGCGUCGUUGAUGCGGUAUCGCAACGUCCCAGCACGAUCUGUCGACACGCGGAAGGCCACCCGGCGCCACCAGAGAGAGCUACCUGCGGUCCCGCUAUAUCGCGUCGAAUCGCUCCAGCCAAUUUGCGACACGUGGAAGGGAACCCGGCGCCACCUGCGAUCCCGCUGUGUGUCGCUCACAAUCUGAAGUGCUAUUUUGUAAAGCUACAGACUUCGACAAGGAUCCAUUAGCAGCAGUGACAGUGCAACGGACAUAUCUUGACACAAAUUACUUUCCUCUGUGCAGGCGGUACCAAUGCAGUCUCCGACUCCGGGGCCUCAUCUUGUAUACUACAUGUUGUAAUAACCUCG